rnacentral:rRNA from 1 species
UACAGAGGGGGCAAGCGUUGUUCGGAAUUACUGGGCGUAAAGGGCGCGUAGGCGGCCUGUUAAGUCGAACGUGAAAUCCCUGGGCUCAACCCAGGAACUGCGUCCGAUACUGGCAGGCUUGAAUCCGGGAGAGGGAUGUGGAAUUCCUGGUGUAGCGGUGAAAUGCGCAGAUAUCAGGAGGAACACCAAUUGCGAAGGCAGCUCGCUGGGACGUUACUGACGCUGAGAACGCGAAAGCGUGGGGAGCAAACAGG